AUUGAACGCUGGCGGCAUGCUUUACACAUGCAAGUCGAACGGUAACAUGCCUUCGGGUGCUGACGAGUGGCGCACGGGUGAGUAAUGCAUCGGAACGUGCCCAGAGGUGGGGGAUAACGCAGCGAAAGCUGUGCUAAUACCGCAUGUGAUCUGAGGAUGAAAGCGGGGGACCAAGCAGCAAUGUUUGGCCUCGCGCCUCUGGAGCGGCCGAUGUCAGAUUAGGUAGUUGGUGGGGUAAAGGCCUACCAAGCCGACGAUCUGUAGCUGGUCUGAGAGGACGACCAGCCACACUGGGACUGAGACACGGCCCAGACUCCUACGGGAGGCAGCAGUGGGGAAUGUUGGACAAAGGGCGCAAGCCUGAUCCAGCAAUGCCGCGUGCGGGAAGAAGGCCUUCGGGUUGUAAACCGCUUUUGUACGGAACGAAAAGGCUCUGGCUAAUACCUGGGGCUGAUGACGGUACCGUAAGAAUAAGCACCGGCUAACUACGUG
rnacentral:rRNA from 1 species